UACGUAGGGUGCGAGCGUUAAUCGGAAUUACUGGGCGUAAAGCGUGCGCAGGCGGUUUGCUAAGACCGAUGUGAAAUCCCCGGGCUCAACCUGGGAAUGGCGAUGGAUACUGGCGAGCUAGAGUGCGGUAGAGGAGAGUGGAAUUCACGGUGUAGCAGUGAAAUGCGUAGAUAUCGUGAGGAAGACCAGUGGCGAAGGCGAUUCUCUGGGCAGUUCCUGACACUGAGGCACGAAGGCCAGGGGAGCAAACGGG
rnacentral:rRNA from 1 species